rnacentral:rRNA from 1 species
UACGUAGGGGGCAAGCGUUGUCCGGAUUUAUUGGGCGUAAAGAGCGUGUAGGCGGCCAGACAGGUCAGCUGUGAAAAGCUCGGGGCUCAACUCCGAGCUUGCAGUCGAUACGGGCAGGCUAGAGUUCGGCAGGGGGAGACUGGAAUUCCUGGUGUAGCGGUGAAAUGCGCAGAUAUCAGGAGGAACACCGGUGGCGAAGGCGGGUCUCUGGGCCGAUACUGACACUGAGGAGCGAAAGCGUGGGGAGCGAACAGG